CAGUCGCCACGGUAAUACGUAGGGUGCGAGCGUUAAUCGGAAUUACUGGGCGUAAAGCGUGCGCAGGCGGUUAUAUAAGACAGAUGUGAAAUCCCCGGGCUCAACCUGGGACCUGCAUUUGUGACUGUAUAGCUAGAGUACGGUAGAGGGGGAUGGAAUUCCGCGUGUAGCAGUGAAAUGCGUAGAUAUGCGGUGGAACACCGAUGGCGAAGGCAAUCCCCUGGACCUGUACUGACGCUCAUGCACGAAAGCGUGGGGAGCAAACAGGAUUAGAUACCCCCGUAGUCCCUGUCUCUUAUAC
rnacentral:rRNA from 1 species